GAUGAACGCUGGCGGCGUGCCUAAUACAUGCAAGUCGAGCGAACGGACGAGAAGCUUGCUUCUCUGAUGUUAGCGGCGGACGGGUGAGUAACACGUGGAUAACCUACCUAUAAGACUGGGAUAACUUCGGGAAACCGUAUCUAAUACCGUAUAAUAUUUUGAUCCGCAUGGUUCAAUAGUGAAAGACGGUCUUGCUGUCACUUAUAGAUGGAUCCCCGCUGCAUUAGCUAGUUGGUAAGGUAACGGCUUACCAAGGCAACGAUGCAUAGCCGACCUGAGAGGGUGGUCGGCCACCCUGGAACUGAGACACGGUCCAGACUCCUAAGGGAGGCAGCAGUAGGGAAUCUUACGCAAUGGGGGAAAGCCUGACGGAGCAACGCCACGUGAGUGAUGAAGGUCUUCGGAUCGUAAAACUCUGUUAUUAGGGAAGAACAGAUGUGUAAGUAACUGUGCACAUCGUGACGGUAACUAAUAAGAAAGCAACGGCUAACUACGUG
rnacentral:rRNA from 1 species